CCCCUAGAUGUUCUGGGCCGCACGCGCGCUACACUGAACAGUUCAACAAGUCUUAACCUUGGCCGAUAGGUCUGGGUAAUCUUUGAACGCUGUUCGUGAUUGGGAUAGACCUUUGCAAUUAUGGGUCUUCAACGAGGAAUUCCUAGUAAACGCAAGUCAUCAGCUUGCAUUGAUUACGUCCCUGCCCUUUGUACACACCGCCCGUCGCACCUACCGAUUGAAUGGUCCGGUGAAGCCUCCGGAUUGCGCGGCUUCGGCUGUCGCGAGAAGUUGGCUAAACCUUACCAUUUAGAGGAAGGUGAAGUCGUANCA
rnacentral:rRNA from 1 species